CUGGACUACGGUCGCAAGAUUAAAACUCAAAGGAACUGACGGGGACCCGCACAAGCGGUGGAGCAUGUGGUUUAAUUCGAUGCAACGCGAAAAACCUUACCACUCCUUGACAUGGAAAUUAUACCUAUUCGAAGGGAUAGGGUCGGUUCGGCCGGGUUUCACACAGGUGUUGCAUGGCUGUCGUCAGCUCGUGUCGUGAGAUGUUGGGUUAAGUCCCGCAACGAGCGCAACCCUCAUCCUUAGUUACCAUCAGGUAAUGCUGGGGACUUUAAGGAGACUGCCAGUGAUAAACUGGAGGAAGGUGGGGAUGAUGUCAAGUCAUCAUGGCCCUUAUGGAGUGGGCUACACACGUGCUACAAUGGUGGCUACAAUGGGCUGCAAAGUCGCGAGGCUAAGCCAAUCCCUUAAAAGCCAUCUCAGUUCGGAUUGUACUCUGCAACUCGAGUGCAUGAAGUUGGAAUCGCUAGUAAUCGUGGAUCAGCACGCCACGGUGAAUACGUUCUCGGGUCUUGUACACACUGCCCGUCACGCCAUGGGAAUUGGUUUCACUCGAAGCUAACGACCUAACCGCAAGGAGGGAGUUAUUUAAAGUGGGAUCGGUGACUGGGGUG
rnacentral:rRNA from 1 species